rnacentral:lncRNA from 1 species
AUGACAAGUUCCUUGCUGCACAGUUGGGAACACAACUAAAGCAACCCAUAACUGCAGGUGUUUUAGGUUUGCCAGAGUCUAAAAGCCUGCCCAAGCUUGACUCAGUGAUCAAACAAGCCAAUCCAGGGCAUAAUAAAUGUGCCUUGCAUACAAAGAAGAGUCCAAACCUGGCUUCCAGGCCUGACUCACUACUUAAUCAUCUGCCAGUUAUAAAAUAGCCAUCAGCUUAGUAAAAAAUGAGUUGUUUAAGGGAGAGAUAGGAAAAGAAAAUCAUGCAUCUUAUCACACAUACGCUUGGCAUCUUUCUUAAACAAUAAUAGGUUUAUCUGGGAUUAGUUCUCAGGAUCCCCGCAUAUGUUAGUGUUGAAUAGAGGAACAGAAUUUAGGAUUAUUUGACUUAAACCCAUCAUAACCAUAUUUAGAACUAGUCUCAAAGUUGCAAUUUCAGCAAACCUGUUGAAAUCAGUUCAAUGAGCUAAAUUACUAAGGAAAAAAAAGAAAGACACUGAAAGAAGAUGAGUGACCCUUGUACAGACAGGGAGCAGCAUCCAAUAUGGCCACCCUCUUUACACCUUGACACUUUUCCAAUCCCACAUAAGCCCUUCAUACUGGACCUGUGCCUGUAAGUAUAUGAAGCCAUCAAAUUUCUUCUAUUUCAUCAUCUCUGAAAGGUUAGCAGGCAAGUUGUUUCAACAAUAUGAUAUGCAGAGGUCGAGCAUUCCAACUGUUCAGCCUAUAUUAGUUCACUAGCACCCUAUGCACAGAAAAUUCAAAAAGUUCUGUCACUGCAAGCAAUAAACUUAUCUAUCAUAAUAAUAGUUCUAUACAAAUCUGAUCAAUUGCUUCCAUUAGGUGAAACAGCAAACUCCAUUCAACCACCUGAAAAUAAUUGUAACUUGCAAGAAGAUGGCAAAUUGUGUGAUGAGAAGACAUGUUUCUCUUGCAAUAGUAUACGAGAAGCAAAUUCACAAAUUGUUCGAGGAACUCUCUUGGUGAGAAUACUUGUCAAAAACAUUUCAUUAGUUUGGCAUCAUUCCUAUAAGGAUUGAUAAUAUCAAUCUAAGCCAAAAACUAACCGAUAUUCACCACACAUCAUCAACAGAUACCAUGUCGAACAGCAAUGAGAGGGAGUUUUCCCCUCAAUGGUACAUAUUUCCAAGUCAAUGAGGUAGAUUUUCUAAACUCAGGUUACUCUACUCAGAACUAACAGCAGAUGGAUAAUACUAACAAAAUAAGCUUUAUGAAGGUGUUUGCGGACCAUGAUUCUAGCCUCAACCCAAUUGAUGUUCCUAGAUCUUGGAUAUGGAACCUACCAAGACGGACUGUAUACUUCGGAACAUCAAUACCAACAAUAUUUAAGGGUAAGCAUAAUUCGAGAACAUAGUCCUAACAAAUAGCACAAAGUCAACCACUGACAUUCAUUAUUUUAUCUUUUUUGGUAUAUCAGGUUUGACAACGGAAGGUAUUCAACACUGUUUCUGGAGAGGUACCAGAUAAUUCCAACUCUCUACUAUUCUGCUUUCUUAGAUGCUUUGACUUAAACUUUAAAGUCUAGCUAUAAGCACUGCAGUUGUAACUUUAGCUACAAAUAAAAGCAACAUAACUUUGCAAUGUAUAACGGCACAUAUGAGCUCCAAACAACCUCACAUUUGAAACUUCAAGACCUAGGAGAAAUAACUUUGCCCUGCCUCAGCCUCACAAAUCUAAUAUUAGCAGUUUACUAUCACACCAAAAUGUUAGCAAACAAAAGUGAUCGAUGAUAAAAUAUUAUGAUACAUCUAUUACUACCUUUUAAUGUUAUAACCUUACUGCAAGUGAUGCCUCCUCACUUGACAGCUACAUGAGUGAAAUUUUCAAUCUGUUCCAGUACAUUUAUUUGCCAAACCCCCAGGUCUGUCAAAUUCAACAGAGACUAAUAGGGAAUCCUUAAGAACACCAUUCAAACACAGUAUCCCGAAAUCAGCAGGAAGGAAUAUGCUGCUUCUUUAGAGAAUUUAUUGACGUGGCCAAUUGAACUUCACUUGAAAUAGAAAAUAUGCAAAAUGUUGGCGUUGCCAUUUGAAAAACCAAGUAAUCAAGUGCUUAACUGAUAACAUCUACAUCAAGGUUCCAAAUCUCUCAGAUCGCAGGCAUGUGUAUACCUGGAUGGAAAGCCGAUGGAGUUCUUGUCCGGGUGUUCCUGUGUUGAAUUGGUAAAGAAAGAAUUACUAUAGUAGCAUCCCAAUCAAACAAUAUACCCUCAAUGUCCCAUAUGCAUCUGCCCCACUAACACUAACUCUAGUGUAACAUUGUAAUCUUCAUCAAAUAAGAGAUGCGCAUUAGUUAAAAGGUGAGUUAAAAAAAGAUAAAGCACCACUCUGGUAGCAUUACAAUGAGCAAUUCCUCAUACAACUCAACCACACAAUGUACCUGCCCUACUAACUCCAUUCAAAUUUGACAUUGAAAUUAAUCUUGAUCAAAAAAAAAAAAAAAAAGCACAAUAGCACGGGUCAUAGUAGGUAGGACAUCCUUUAGCUAUAUAUGUAUGCAAAUGUUUCAAAAUUCGUUUUUCUUAUUAAAAGAUGAUCAUUCAAUCCUCUUUUAGGGUGUGAACUUUGAUUUUGUAGUUGCUUGUCCACAACACAAACUUGCAAAAAGCACUGUGUAACUGAGAUGCGUACACUUCAUGACUGCAGGUUUUGUUUGUGUUAGAGGAUUUGACCAAAAGACAAGGGCACCUCGUCCUCUGAUGGCCAGACUACAUUUCCCAGCCAGCAAAUUAAACAGGGCAAAAGGAAAGGAUUCAAAUGAAUAACAAACAAUUCCCUGCAAUAAUCAAAUACAACUUCAAGAACCAGAUGACAGUGUUUGGAUAACAAUAACCAGCAGCACCACAUUCGAAGAGUGUAACUUGGCUUUCACAGGGAAAAGGAAAAAGGCAGAAGUCCGGUUGAGUUGUGUGAUCCUGUAAUAUACGAUCAUGUAGCAUGUACAUGGUUAACAAAGCUGUAAUUUUCUUAAUUUUCUUAAAUGUUAUGCUCGUAUUUGAGCCAUUCUUCCCAAACAGGUCAAGAUCAGUAAAAUCACAGAUUCCAGAAAAAUGGAAUAUCAUAGUCGCUAUGCCUUGCAUUAAGCGCAGAGAAAACCCAGAGCUAAUCGGAUCCUAAUAAAAACACUUCAAAACCACAGAUUCAAGUAUGCGAAAAAUAGAGCAACAAAACAAAAACUUAAUAUCCAAUCCUUAGAUGCACUCGAGAUAAGAAAAUAACACCUAACACUUGCAAGUCAAAACCAUAUCAUAUCCUGUUCUAUCUGGUUGCUUAUUAACUCAACGAAGUCCAAAAGGUUGAUGAGAUUCAAACUAAAUAAUUUUAACUACAAUUGCAUCAAAGCGUGUUUCCAAGUCCAAAAGAUCAACGAGACUUGAGAUAGAAACAUGCUUCAACCUCCGAUCAAUAAAUCCAUUUCUGCUUAACCCAACCACGCCCUAUCGGUAGAUCCAAUUCUAACAAACAUGCGUAAUUAUAAUUAUAAUUGCGUCAUGCAACAUGCAAAUUAAACACGGAACUUCCAAUCUAUGGAUCCAAUUCAAUUUUAACUGCAAGUAAUUGAAUGUUUAGAAAAUAAAGCAAUUCAACCAAAAUAAACACGGAACUUUCGACCUAUGGAUCCAAUUCAAUUAUAAAUGCAAAUAAUUGAAUGUUUUGGAAACACAGCAAUCCAACCAACGCAGAGAAACAACAGAUAUUAAGCUAACACAACAAAGAGCAUAAUCAUAAAAGACAAAAUCAUGGUGAUGACCGUAAAGGUUACCGAUGUAAAAGAAACAUACCUAUAGACUCAUCGAUUGAACGGCCGGAGGUUAGAGGUGUUUUAUCAAGGCCUUUUUUGCCGCCUUGCCGCUUCUUUUGAUCUUUAUUUUCCCUCCCAAUUAGGAUGGUUUAAGCAACCUAUGAGCCUUCCUGUUUUUGAAAUACGCGCCACACAUGCGGAGCGUCGGGUCAUAUCUGACGGCCACUAAGGUAUGCAGAUCAAUUUAGCAUUAAAGCCUGCAAAAUAUUAGAAAGGAAAACUUUUCAAAAAAAGUUAAAUCAAUAAAAAGAUUUG